AGAGUUUGAUCCUGGCUCAGGAUGAACGCUAGCUACAGGCUUAACACAUGCAAGUCGAGGGGCAGCAUGGAAGAAGCUUGCUUCUUCUGAUGGCGACCGGCGCACGGGUGCGUAACGCGUAUCAAACCUGCCUCAUACUCGGGGAUAGCCUUGCGAAAGUAAGAUUAAUACCCGAUGUUGUUAUGUUACCGCAUGGUGAUAUAACCAAAGAUUUAUCGGUAUGAGAUGGUGAUGCGUCCGAUUAGGUAGUAGGCGGGGUAACGGCCCACCUAGCCUUCGAUCGGUAGGGGUUCUGAGAGGAAGGUCCCCCACACUGGAACUGAGACACGGUCCAGACUCCUACGGGAGGCAGCAGUGAGGAAUAUUGGUCAAUGGACGAAAGUCUGAACCAGCCAAGUAGCGUGCAGGAUGACGGCCCUCUGGGUUGUAAACUGCUUUUAGUUGGGAAUAAAAAGAGGACGUGUCCUCUAUUGUAUGUACCUUCAGAAAAGGACCGGCUAAUUCCGUG
rnacentral:rRNA from 1 species